rnacentral:rRNA from 1 species
UACGGGAGGCAGCAGGGGGAAUAUUGCACAAUGGGCGCAAGCCUGAUGCAGCCAUGCCGCGUGUAUGAAGAAGGCCUUCGGGUUGUAAAGUACUUUCAGUCGUGAGGAGGUGUUAAGGUUAAUAACCUUAGCAAUUGACGUUAGCGACAGAAGAAGCACCGGCUAACUCCGUGCCAGCAGCCGCGGUAAUACGGAGGGUGCGAGCGUUAAUCGGAAUUACUGGGCGUAAAGGGCACGCAGGCGGUUAAUUAAGUUGGAUGUGAAAUCCCCGGGCUUAACCUGGGAAUGGCAUUCAAGACUGGUUAGCUAGAGUCUUGUAGAGGGGGUAGAAUUCCAUGUGUAGCGGUGAAAUGCGUAGAGAUGUGGAGGAAUACCGGUGGCGAAGGCGGCCCCUGGACAAAGACUGACGCUCAUGUGCGAAAGCGUGGGGAGCAAACAGGGAUUAGAUACC